CCCUGUUCUCCAGAGUCCUUAGCCCACGUAGGUGGUCCUGGACAGUCUGUCCCUCCCUUGCUUGCCUAGUGAGUUUUCUGAGCCCACAGUUCUUGUUUUCGUGAUCUCUGCUAUGGUCCAUAAAAGAGUACAUACAAGCUCUUUUUUUUCUUUUUGGAGGUAAGAGUCCAAGAAGUGUUUCACCGGGUUGUGCAGUCUGGACACCGAGAUGGUAGAGGGGCUGUAAGAUGGUAGAGGAACCAGCUCAGGAGAGCCGCUGGGCUAGCAGCUUUACGGAAGCCUUGGAUGGUGGGGAAACUCCCGUACAGAAACUCAGCUGGUCAAAGAAACUCAAAGCCACAAGACCUUGGAAGCUUUGUCAAGUGGACCAGCCUCCAUGGACCACGGAAUACCUUGAGACCCAACUUUCUGCCUCUGGUUGCACUGAUACUUUGUCCUGGUGCUGGUGCUUAAGAUGUGGUCUGCUCAGCCAAAGAAGUCUGUGAAGGAUACUCACCCACAUGUGGAGUUGAUGAAUCAGCCCUCUUCACCUAUUCAACAGAUGUGACUGUUUUGUCGUCUUUCUGGUUCCAAAGGAUUUCUGGAGAGCUAUGACUUUACCCUUUUAGAACUAUUGGUCCUCAUACUCUGUGCACCUCUGAUGUCAGCAUGGGAUUUCUACAAUUCCAAGCAGGAGUUGCAGCCACUUGAUAGGCAGUGCCUCAGUCUGGGGCCUCUGUGGAAUCCAGCUGGCAUAUUCCAGCCAAUGUGGCAGCCUCAAUAGUUAAGUUUUGACCAUGUCCCUACUGUCCUGGGUGGUGAAAAUACUCCCUUUAUGUGUCCUUGGGAGCAGAAAGAUGCUCUUCAAAAAGUGGUGCCUGAUGGAGAUCUCCACAGAACAAGACACUCAGAAGGGCAGGGAUAGAAUCUUUACCUGAGGUUGGUCUAGUAUGAAAAGCCUAAGGCUGGGUGCAGUGGCCCAUGCCCUGUAAUCCCAGCACUUUGAGAGGCCAAGGCAGGUGGAUUGCUUGAGCUCAGGAGUUCAUGACCAGCAUGGGCAACAUGGUGAAAGCCUGUCUCUACUAAAAAUACAAAACUUAGCUGGGCGUGGUGGUGGGUGCCUGUAAUUCCAGCUACUUGAGAGCCUGAGGCAGGAGAAUCUCUUGAACCCCAGAGGCGGAGGUUGCUGUGAGCUGAGAUCACACCAUUGUACUCCAGCCUGGGUGACAGACCGAGACCCUGUCUUCACUUACCG
rnacentral:lncRNA from 1 species